AGCAGCCGCGGUAAUUCCAGCUCCAAUAGCGUAUAUUAAAGUUGUUGCAGUUAAAAAGCUCGUAGUUGAAUUUCGGGAUUGACACAUCGGUCGUGCCUUAAGGGGUAUGAACUGGUGUAGUCAAUUUCUCACCUUCUGGAGAACCGCGAUGCCCUUAAUUGGGUGUCGCGGGGAACCAGGACCUUUACUUUGAAAAAAUUAGAGUGUUUAAAGCAGGCAUUUUGCUUGAAUACAUUAGCAUGGAAUAAUAAAAUAGGACGGCAUGAUUCUAUUUUGUUGGUUUCUAGGAUCACCGUAAUGAUUAAUAGGGAUAGUUGGGGGCAUUAGUAUUCAAUUGUCAGAGGUGAAAUUCUUGGAUUUAUUGAAGACUAACUACUGCGAAAGCAUUUGCCAAGGAUGUUUUCAUUAAUCAAGAACGAAAGUUAGGGGAUCGAAGACGAUCAGAUACCGUCGUAGUCUUAACCAUAAACUAUGCCGACUAGGAAUCAGACGAUGUUAAUUUUUUAAUGACUCGUUUGG
rnacentral:misc_RNA from 1 species